UACGUAGGGUGCGAGCGUUGUCCGGAAUUAUUGGGCGUAAAGGGCUCGUAGGCGGUUUGUCGCGUCGGAAGUGAAAACCCAGGGCUUAACCCUGGGCCUGCUUCCGAUACGGGCAGACUAGAGGUAUGCAGGGGAGAACGGAAUUCCUGGUGUAGCGGUGAAAUGCGCAGAUAUCAGGAGGAACACCGGUGGCGAAGGCGGUUCUCUGGGCAUUACCUGACGCUGAGGAGCGAAAGUGUGGGGAGCGAACAGG
rnacentral:rRNA from 1 species